rnacentral:rRNA from 1 species
GACGAACGCUGGCGGCGUGCCUAAUACAUGCAAGUUGAGCGCUGAAGGUUGGUACUUGUACCAACUGGAUGAGCAGCGAACGGGUGAGUAACGCGUGGGGAAUCUGCCUUUGAGCGGGGGACAACAUUUGGAAACGAAUGCUAAUACCGCAUAAAAACUUUAAACACAAGUUUUAAGUUUGAAAGAUGCAAUUGCAUCACUCAAAGAUGAUCCCGCGUUGUAUUAGCUAGUUGGUGAGGUAAAGGCUCACCAAGGCGAUGAUACAUAGCCGACCUGAGAGGGUGAUCGGCCACAUUGGGACUGAGACACGGCCCAAACUCCUACGGGAGGCAGCAGUAGGGAAUCUUCGGCAAUAGACGAAAGUCUGACCGAGCAACGCCGCGUGAGUGAAGAAGGUUUUCGGAUCGUAAAACUCUGUAGGUAGAGAAGAACGUUGGUGAGAGUGGAAAGCUCAUCAAGUGACGGUAACUACCCAGAAAGGGACGGCUAACUACGUG